rnacentral:lncRNA from 1 species
CUUGGCACAAUAUACCUGGAAGAUAACGUGAAUUCAGAGGUGUUUCCUGUUUUCUCUUUCAGGGAAAUCUUGAGGAGUUUGAUCCUUUCCACCCAGCAGCCAUUAACCAUCUUGUGGGAAGCUGUACAUUGGAAGAAUCCCAGGCAAGCGGUUCCUGGCCCUCGCAGUGCAGUUGAGGGAAUCUGGAAGCAGCAUGCGGGCACCAGCGCUGAGGGAAGCCAUGGGCCUAGGCCACAGAGGUAAAACGUGAGGAGAGUCAAAGCCUGGAAUGACAUGUUAGGACUGACACCAAAGAUGACUGCAUUGUCCUGCUGCUCUGAGGGGUAGAAAAAGAACAGAAGAGACUGAAGGUGAACCGACUGAACUCUAAGUCUCAUCCCUCCUUCCAUUUGCCACAUUUUCACUUGUGGGACCCUGAAGGAAGUCCACAGUCAGUGUUAGCUGAUGCGAAGGCUAACAGCAACCACAGUUAACCUCAUCCAUAGCGUCCUUUGCCCCAAAAGCUGCCAUAUUGUCUUCUGAGACUGCUGGAUGCUCA